rnacentral:misc_RNA from 1 species
AACAUCGCGCACCUGCGGGAACCUGCGGAGGGAUCAUUAUUGGUAUUUAAGAUGUGCUGACUUUGUAAAGGAGUAUUGUGCACUCUAAAAUUCAUUUUGGUUUUCUCUGUGCACUUGUUAGUAGGCCCAAAGAAAAAUAAAAAAGAGAGAGUUGGGUUUCAAGGGGAACUUGAACAUAUCCUUUUUAUUUUCUCUUGGUGUCCUAUGCACUUGUACUAAAAUGCUUUUUAUGAUUGAAUA